GGAAGGGGCUGGUGCUCCUUGUUAUAACCUCACUGGUAGCACUGCCAGCACCUGUGCAUCCCACGUGCCAGCAAAGGGAGGCAGAAAGCAGCCUCCUGAGCUCCAGGAGCCAGGAAAAGCCCUGGGGCACCAAGAUCUUCUUAACAACUUUCUUUGAAAGGGGCUUUAUGAAUGCUGGCUGGACACAGCUGGAGCUGUGCUACAGGUUAGAGGAAAAAUGAUUUCUGUGUUACAGAAAUGCUGCCUGCAAUAUUAAGGUCACUCUGUCCUAACAUGAUUCCACCACAGAGAUGAAUACAGAUUGUGAUGCACUGUGUUACGCCGUGUCGUACUGAAUUAACUGAAGGCGGUUUGCCCCAGGGGCUGCCAAUUCAUCUGUUCACUGGAGCUCGCCCCGAAUCAACAUAAAACAAAAUCGAAAGAUUCUUACACGACAAACCGCCUGCUCAUUCAUCUGUUGUUUCACUGCGGUGCUGUUCUCAUUACCACAUUUGAUUUAAUUUGUACGUGUACUACUCAUGGAAAAAAAUAAAAAAUUCCAUCGUA